UACGUAGGGUGCGAGCGUUGUCCGGAAUUACUGGGCGUAAAGAGCUCGUAGGUGGUUUGUCGCGUUGUCCGUGAAAACUCACAGCUCAACUGUGGGCGUGCGGGCGAUACGGGCAGACUGGAGUACUGCAGGGGAGACUGGAAUUCCUGGUGUAGCGGUGGAAUGCGCAGAUAUCAGGAGGAACACCAAUAGCGAAGGCAGCUCGCUGGGACGUUACUGACACUGAGGCGCGAAAGCGUGGGGAGCGAACAGG
rnacentral:rRNA from 1 species